rnacentral:misc_RNA from 1 species
GAAGAAGAACGUAGCGAAAUGCGAUAAGUAAUGUGAAUUGCAGAAUUCAGUGAAUCAUCGAAUCUUUGAACGCACAUUGCGCCCGCCAGUAUUCUGGCGGGCAUGCCUGUUCGAGCGUCAUUACAACCCUCAGGCCCCCGGGCCUGGCGUUGGGGAUCGGCGGAGCCCCCCGUGGGCACACGCCGUCCCCCAAAUACAGUGGCGGUCCCGCCGCAGCUUCCAUCGCGUAGUAGCUAACACCUCGCGACUGGAGAGCGGCGCGGCCACGCCGUAAAACACCCAACUCUUCUGAAGUUGACCUCGAAUCAGGUAGGAAUACCCGCUGAACUUAAGCAUAUCAAUAAGCGGAGGA